CUUUCCGGGUCGCCCAUCGCGCAGACUCCGCCGAAGCUACGGGCCCUGAGGGAACUGAGCUAAGCAGGCUACCUCCAACUACGACAGGACGCAGGUGGUCCGCUGGUCCGCUGGUCCGCCCCGCCCCCAGCGCUAGGGACCCGGCCGGCCCCACCCCGCCGCGCCGGCCCUGCUUUCUCGCCGGUCCAUCGAGUGACUCUACCAGCGCCUGCCUGGCCCCGCCUCCCCUGCCUCGGGGCUCCGCCUAACCUCGGCCAGCCCCGCCUCCCCGCCUGCCGCCUAAGGGAAUCUCCCCGCCUCUGCCGACCCGCUUCCCCAACCUGCGGCCUAAGGGAUCCUCCCCGCCUCUGCCCGCCCUGCCUCCCAGCCUGCGGCCUUAGGGAUUCUCCCAGUCUCGGCAGGCCCCGCCUCCCCUGCCUCGGGGCUCCGCCUAUUCCGGCCAGCCCCACUUCCCCGCCUGCGGCCUAAGAAAAUCUCCCUGCCUCCGCUGGCCCCGCCCAGUCGUCCGGCUUUCCCCUGAGGGACGCCGCCGGCUCUGGACGGCCCAGCCUACUCCAGCUGGCCCCACCUCACCACAUCGGUCCCGCCUCCUCCGCUCGCGCCCUCCGGACGCCCACUCCUGAGGAGCUCACCUAGAGCCCUCGCGGCCUCUUUUUACUGCCGGCCCCGUGAGGGAGUCGGCUCGCUGCCCACCCCGCCCGGUCCCAGCUCGCCUCGCCCUACCCGGGCUCUAGCCACCUGGUGCGGCAGGUGUCCUGCAGGUUGGCUCCAGAUUCCCGAGCUCGCCCUCGUGGUGCACCAGGAACACGGUGCUUUGCGCUAGCCCGGCCUGUCCUGAGACACUGCGGGAGGCCAAGAGAACGCGCUGUUGCUGUGUGAAGCGCCGGGGACGAGGCAGCUACACCGCCAAACACUUCGAGACGGAGUCUUGCUCUGUUGCCCAGACUGGGGUGCAGUGGCGUGAUCUUGGCUCACUUCAACCUCUGCCUCCUGGCUUCACACCAUUCUCCUGCCUCAGCCUCCCGAGUAGCUGGGACUACAGGCACCUGCCACCACGCCCAGCUAAUUUUUGUAGCUAUACACUGUUUUAAGCUAACUGUUGUUACAAAAGAGUCAAAAAGCUUUAAAAACUUAAAACAUUUUUUAAACAAAGUUACAGUAAGUUUCCUUGGGAGCUUGGGUACCAUGCUAAAGGAAGCCAAAAACUAGCUCACACAGAGAGACUACAUGAGAAGCCCACAUGGAAAGCAAGCAAAGCACCAGCCAGCUGCUAGCAUCAACCUCCAGAUGUGUGAAUGAAUAAGCUUUCAGAGGAAUCCAACUCCUAGCUGUCAUGCCUUCCAGUUGAAACCCCCAGACGUUAUGGAGCAGGAAAAACAACAUCUUGGGUUCUGUCCCAAUUCCUAACCCACAGAAUCCACAAGCAUAACAAAUGGUUGUUUUAAGCCACCAAUUUUGGGAUAAUUUGUUAUGCGGCCAUAGGAACUGGUCUAGCAUCCAUUCCCCUUAGAGAUUUGUGUGGUGAUUGCUUAAGAAGACAAGCUAGCCUUUUGUAUAGAAAAUAUGUAAUUUCAAGCUACUGCUGUCUUAUUGUAUGUCAUUCACUGGGUAAAUCCCCAUUUCUCAAACUUGAUGUCUCAACACCCCUGCCUUUUUUUUUUUGACAGAGUCUCGACUCUGUCACCCAGACUGGAGUGCAGUAGCGUGAUCUCAGCUCACUGCCAUCUCCGCCUCCCAGAUUCAAGGGGUUCUCCUGCCU